AAGUCCAAGAUCAAGCUGCCAACAGAUUUGGUGUCUGGUGAGGCUGCACACUCCAGAGGGGCAGAACGCUGUGACCUCACAUGGCAGAACUGAAGAGCAACCUAAGGUGAAGGAGGUGACUUCUUAUGGGACAUGAUUUCUGAAGCAGAAGUUUACCUGAGGUUCCUGGAAGAAAUGUUUUCCCCACCUGUUGGCUCCCUGAGUAUUAACAUGCCAGAUGCAAAGCUUCAUUCAUUCUAUUAAAAUGCAAAUGAGCCCAACAGUGUAGUAAAACAGUUUGCUGCUAGAAGUUAUUUACAAUAUUCUAAGAGUAACGCUCUUAUUCACCCUAAGCACAGGUUUUAAUAAAAAGUGGAAGGGAUCGCAAGGGUAUUGAGAUCUCAGCAAGAGAAGGAAAGGGAAAAGGUUGUUUAAAAACAACAUUAAUAGAAGACAUACCGUAUAGAGAGAAAAACGCAGACUGUGCAUGUUCAAGAUAACUUUCAUUACAAUUUUGCCUAAGCCAGGGUGAAUGCAAAUGUUUCAGUUUUAACAGACUGGAUCAUUCAUUCAAAAAGCAUUUAUUGAGUGCCUUCUCAAAAAAGAAUGAUAAUUAGAUUUUUUAAGUUAUAAAGAAAAUAUAAAACCAAAACUGGAGAAAUAUACGCCAACAUUUUUCCAAUGGUUCCGUUGUCAAAGUAGAAUUAGAAUGUAAGUGCAGAGUUAAAUUCCAUUGUCUAUCAAGAAGUAAUUGUAAAGGAGCUAUGUCUAAAAAUGUAUCUUUUCAGUGAUUUUUGUUCUGAACAAUCUUCUGCCUCAAAUACAUUUUGGAUCUAUGAUUUGCAACCACUUUUUUUUGGUGGGUCAAGAUACCAGCACUGUAACUUUAAGAAGUUCAUCAUUAGCAUGCAUUUAAAAAAAUGUACCAAGUUAAGAAAAAAAUUGAAUAAAUGUACAUCUGUCUAAAGC
rnacentral:lncRNA from 10 species